ACUCCUGCGGGAGGCAGCAGUGGGGAAUAUUGCACAAUGGGCGCAAGCCUGAUGCAGCCAUGCCGCGUGUAUGAAGAAGGCCUUCGGGUUGUAAAGUACUUUCAGCGGGGAGGAAGGCGAUAAGGUUAAUAACCUUGUUGAUUGACGUUACCCGCAGAAGAAGCACCGGCUAACUCCGUGCCAGCAGCCGCGGUAAUACGGAGGGUGCAAGCGUUAAUCGGAAUUACUGGGCGUAAAGCGCACGCAGGCGGUCUGUCAAGUCGGAUGUGAAAUCCCCGGGCUCAACCUGGGAACUGCAUUCGAAACUGGCAGGCUAGAGUCGUGUAGAGGGGGGUAGAAUUCCAGGUGUAGCGGUGAAAUGCGGAGAGAUCUGGAGGAAUACCGGUGGCGAAGGCGGCCCCCUGGACAAAGACUGACGCUCAGGUGCGAAAGCGUGGGGAGCAAACAGGAUUAGAUACCCCAGUAGUCCCAUGAU
rnacentral:rRNA from 1 species